GGCGGUAGGGAGGGGACGCCACCGCCCUCGUCGGCCCUCUUCCCAGCUGCCGUCGUCCAGCCGCCGCCCUCGACAGCCCUCCUCCCAUCCGUGUCUUUCUCCACCUUGGCCCUCCUCCCAGCCGCCGCAUUUGACCCUCCUCCAGCCGCUGCUCAGCCCGCCCUCCCCUGCUCCCAUCCAUGGCCGGGCCUCUUCUCUCUACCACAAAGGACGCCGCCGCCCUCGUCCAGUCAUCGCCCUCAUCAGCCCACCUCCCAACCGCCCUCAUCGGCCCUCCCAACCGAGCCUCUCUCCACCUCGGCCCUCCUCCCAACCGCCCACGUCGGCCCUCCUCCAGCCACCGUAUUAGACCCUCCUCCCAGCACGCCCUCCCCUGUUCCCAGUCGCUCCUAUCAAUGGACGGGCCUCCCCUCCCUGCCGCCGCCCUUGUUGGCCCUCUUCCUAUCCGCCCUCCUCCCAGCCGUCGCCCUCGGCCCUCAUCUCAGCUGCCCUCAGCCCUCCUCCUAGCCGC
rnacentral:misc_RNA from 1 species